CUACGUGCCAGCAGCCGCGGUAAUACGGAGGGUGCGAGCGUUAAUCGGAAUAACUGGGUGUAAAGGGCACGCAGGCGGUGACUUAAGUGAGGUGUGAAAGCCCCGGGCUUAACCUGGGAAUUGCAUUUCAUACUGGGUCGCUAGAGUACUUUAGGGAGGGGUAGAAUUCCACGUGUAGCGGUGAAAGGCGUAGAGAUGUGGAGGAAUACCGAAGGCGAAGGCAGCCCCUUGGGAAUGUACUGACGCUCAUGUGCGAAAGCGUGGGGAGCAAACAGGAUUAGAUACCCUGGUAGUCCACGCUGUAAACGAUGUCGAUUUGGGGGUUGAGCUUUGAGCUUGGCGCCCGUAGCUAACGUGAUAAAUCGACCGCCUGGGGAGUACGGCCGCAAGGUUAAAACUCAAAUGAAUUGACGGGGGCCCGCACAAGCGGUGGAGCAUGUGGUUUAAUUCGAUGCAACGCGAAGAACCUUACCUACUCUUGACAUCCAGA
rnacentral:rRNA from 1 species